GAGUAGCUUGCUACGAGGUCAAGAUUGCUCCGGGAUAGCGGCAAAAGGGUGAGUAACACGUGAACAACUUUCCCCAAAGACGGACAUAGCAUCGAGAAAUCGGUGGUAAUUUCCGAUAUGGUCCUGACACCGCAUGGUGAUGGGAUUAAAGGCAGGGACCGCAAGGCCUGCCACUUUGGGAUGGGUUCGCGACCUAUCAGCUAGUUGGCGGGGUAACGGCCCACCAAGGCUUUUGACGGGUAGCUGGUCUGAGAGGAUGGUCAGCCACACUGGGACUGAGACACUGCCCAGACUCCUACGGGAGGCUGCAGUCGAGAAUCUUUAGCAAUGGGCGCAAGCCUGACUAUGCGACGCCGCGUGCAGGAUGAAGGCUUUCGGGUUGUAAACUGCUUUUGUCAGGGAAGAAUCCCCUAAACCAAACAGGUUUAGGGUUGACGGUACCUGACGAAUAAGCCACGGCCAACUCCGUGCCGGCAGCCGCGGUAAUACGGAGGUGGCGAGCGUUACUCGGAAUCAUUGGGUGUAAAGGGCAAGUAGGCGGCCUAUUAAGUGAGGGGUGAAAUCCUGCGACUUAAUCGCAGAACUGCCUUUCAAACUGGUAGGCUUGAGGCUGUGAGAGGGAAAUGGAAUUCGCGGUGUAAGGGUGAAAUCUGUAGAUAUCGCGAAGAACACCGGCGGCGAAGGCGGUUUCCUGGCGCAGUCCUGACGCUAAAUUGCGAAAGCUAGGGGAGCGAACAGAAUUAGAUACUCUGGUAGUCCUAGCCGUAAACGAUGAGCACUAGGUGUUGGCCCUUCGGGGUCAGUGCCGCAGCUAACGCAUUAAGUGCUCCACCUGGGGACUACGGCCGCAAGGCUAAAACUCAAAGGAAUUGACGG
rnacentral:rRNA from 1 species